rnacentral:rRNA from 1 species
AUGGCCCAAUACUUGAGAUCUCACAGAAAAGUGACGGAUGCACAAAUAGCGGCUACAGAGGUCGCAAAGUCUGUAGGCAUUUCUAAUAAAGCAACUAUUGAUCUUAUGGCCAAAGAAGCAUGUGGACAAGAAAACCUUGGUUUUAUCCCUCAAGACAUGAAAAAUCGUUUGUACUCAAAAAGAACAUUGCAAGCAGCAAAAGGUGAUACAGGGGGAGUGUUAGAAUACAUGGAGAAGAAGGUAGUAGAAGAUGUCAAGUUUUUUUAUUCAAUUCAAGUAGAUGAGUACGAUUUGAUAACUAAUAUAUUUUGGGAUGACUCCAAAAUGGUCUCAGACUAUGCAACUUUCGGUGAUGUUAUAAGU